UCUUUAUCAAGAGUGGUGGAGGGACAGGCCCUGUGAAACCACAGCAACCGGUCCGCGCCAGCGGGCGCCAGGUGCUAAUUCCUGCCCGGGCAACCGGGCGAGAUGAGGA
rnacentral:ncRNA from 2 species